GCGGAAGUAGUUCAGUGGUAGAACAACGCCUUGCCAAGGCGUAGGUCGAGGGUUCGAAUCCCUUCUUCCGCUCCA
rnacentral:tRNA from 2 species